rnacentral:rRNA from 1 species
AGAUACCCGGGUAGUCCUAGCCGUAAACGAUACUCGCUAGGUGUCGGCCACGGUGCGACCGUUGUCGGUGCCGUAGGGAAGCCGUGAAGCGAGCCACCUGGGAAGUACGGCCGACAAGGCUGAAACGUUAAAGGAAUUGGCGGGGAGCACCACAACGGGUGGAGCUUGCGGUUUAAUUGGAUUCAACGCCGGAAAUCUUACCGGGACCGACAGCAACAUGAAGGCCAGGCUGAAGACUUUGCCGGAUUAGCUG